GGGCGCCUAGCUCAGCUGGGAGAGCAUCUGCCUUACAAGCAGAGGGUCACAGGUUCGAGCCCUGUGGUGCCCACCA
rnacentral:tRNA from 3 species